AUGAACGCUAGCUACAGGCUUAACACAUGCAAGUCGAGGGGCAGCAUUUUAGUUUGCUUGCAAACUAAAGAUGGCGACCGGCGCACGGGUGAGUAACACGUAUCCAACCUGCCGAUAACUCGGGGAUAGCCUUUCGAAAGAAAGAUUAAUAUCCGAUAGUAUAUUAAAACCGCAUGGUUUUACUAUUAAAGAAUUUCGGUUAUCGAUGGGGAUGCGUUCCAUUAGUUUGUUGGCGGGGUAACGGCCCACCAAGACUACGAUGGAUAGGGGUUCUGAGAGGAAGGUCCCCCACAUUGGAACUGAGACACGGUCCAAACUCCUACGGGAGGCAGCAGUGAGGAAUAUUGGUCAAUGGACGAGAGUCUGAACCAGCCAAGUAGCGUGAAGGAUGACUGCCCUAUGGGUUGUAAACUUCUUUUAUAUGGGAAUAAAGUAUUCCACGUGUGGGAUUUUGUAUGUACCAUAUGAAUAAGGAUCGGCUAACUCCGUGCCAGCAGCCGCGGUAAUACGGAGGAUCCGAGCGUUAUCCGGAUUUAUUGGGUUUAAAGGGAGCGUAGGUGGAUUGUUAAGUCAGUUGUGAAAGUUUGCGGCUCAACCGUAAAAUUGCAGUUGAAACUGGCAGUCUUGAGUACAGUAGAGGUGGGCGGAAUUCGUGGUGUAGCGGUGAAAUGCUUAGAUAUCACGAAGAACUCCGAUUGCGAAGGCAGCUCACUAGACUGCAACUGACACUGAUGCUCGAAAGUGUGGGUAUCAAACAGGAUUAGAUACCCUGGUAGUCCACACAGUAAACGAUGAAUACUCGCUGUUUGCGAUAUACAGUAAGCGGCCAAGCGAAAGCAUUAAGUAUUCCACCUGGGGAGUACGCCGGCAACGGUGAAACUCAAAGGAAUUGACGGGGGCCCGCACAAGCGGAGGAACAUGUGGUUUAAUUCGAUGAUACGCGAGGAACCUUACCCGGGCUUAAAUUGCAUUUGAAUAAUCUGGAAACAGGUUAGCCGCAAGGCAAAUGUGAAGGUGCUGCAUGGUUGUCGUCAGCUCGUGCCGUGAGGUGUCGGCUUAAGUGCCAUAACGAGCGCAACCCUUAUCUUUAGUUACUAACAGGUCAUGCUGAGGACUCUAGAGAGACUGCCGUCGUAAGAUGUGAGGAAGGUGGGGAUGACGUCAAAUCAGCACGGCCCUUACGUCCGGGGCUACACACGUGUUACAAUGGGGGGUACAGAAGGCAGCUACCUGGCGACAGGAUGCUAAUCCCAAAAACCUCUCUCAGUUCGGAUCGAAGUCUGCAACCCGACUUCGUGAAGCUGGAUUCGCUAGUAAUCGCGCAUCAGCCAUGGCGCGGUGAAUACGUUCCCGGGCCUUGUACACACCGCCCGUCAAGCCAUGGAAGCCGGGAGUGCCUGAAGUGCGUGACCGCAAGGAGCGCCCUAGGGUAAAACCGGUGACUGGGGCU
rnacentral:rRNA from 1 species